GUAGGUGGCAAGCGUUGUCCGGGAAUUAUUGGGGCGUAAAGCGCGCGCAGGCGGUUCUUUAAGUCUGAUGUGAAAGCCCACGGGCUCAACCGUGGGAGGGUCAUUGGAAACUGGAGAACUUGAGUACAGAAGAGGAAAGCGGAAUUCCACGUGUAGCGGUGAAAUGCGUAGAGAUGUGGAGGAACACCAGUGGCGAAGGCGGCUUUCUGGUCUGUAACUGACGCUGAGGCGCGAAAGCGUGAGGAGCAAACAGGAUUAGAUGCCCUGGUAGUCCACGCCGUAAACGAUGAGUGCUAAGUGUUAGGGGGUUUCCGCCCCUUAGUGCUGCAGCUAACGCAUUAAGCACUCCGCCUGGGGAGUACGGCCGCAAAGGCUG
rnacentral:rRNA from 1 species